rnacentral:misc_RNA from 1 species
GAGUCUCGCCCGCAAAUGAAAGAGGUAGUUCGAGUUCUUGAAGGAUAUAGUCCUCCAAAGGAUAAGGCUGGAACUCCGUUUACUAGAUGAGCAGUCUCAAGUUCACGACCUAAGCAUCUUUUCUUACCAAACAACUUGUCGUUUCCCUCGUUCUUUUUGACUUAAGAUUGUUUUAAAUCUAGUUAUUAAGUGGAUGAACAAGCGAAUGGUUUGGCAUCUGAGAGUUUUAGCAUGAAAUUAACAGUAUUAUGAAUUUAGCAUGUGGUUGGAGUUUUUGAAAAAAACUCUUGUAUUGUGUCUUACGUGUUGCAGAAUUUUGGCUAUAUGUGUACUUCUUCCCUGCAAAAAUUCAUCUAGAUUUGAUUUUCUUUUAAGAGGUUUCCGUUGUUGGAAUUUGUUGGGCUCUAAAAAGGAGAAACCAAUAAAUUUG